GCAUGUUACAGUUGACUUACAUACCGGUGAAGUGAUGGCACUGGUGGAUGCUAUGAUUGAAACACUCACGGAGGAAUUGUUUACAGCUCUCAUGAACCAAGCUCAAUAUGCACUUGAUUUUAAAAGUCAGUUUGAGAGAACGAAGACACAACUUGAGCUUGUGAAGGCCUUUCUCAAUGACACUGAGACCCUCAAGACCAAGAAGGAAGUUCUGAAGUUGACAAUGAUUCAGAUCAGGGAACUGAUUUAUGAAGCGGAUGACUUGCUGACAGAUUGCCGAAUCAGAGAUGAAUAUCAGAAAGAUGGGCGCUGCUCCAAUUUCUCGGCUAGCAAGUUAUUAUUCUUAUAUCGGACAGGCAAGAAGUUGAAAGAUAUCAAUUUGAGAAUAGAGAAAAUGGACGUGAUAAUAGUUUAAUUCAUAUGAAAUUACCAAAAACUCCACAUAAACAAACUGAAACCCUACCCAACACUCUUUUGUCCCUAUAAAAGGACGUGAUAAGCAAAGUAAGCAGGCGGCUGUCAUCUCCAAAGUUCCCAUCCUCUAAUUCAUCCAUCUCUUCAACUAUUACUCUCCUGAAAUUAAGAUCCCUACCAGCUUUCAGAAAGAUGUGCUGAAUGAGAGAAUAGCAUUAAUGAUUUGUGAUUUUGUGUGGGCUAAAGUGAAUACAGCAGCACCAGCAGAUGUACUGUGGUGACAUUGUAGUAACUUCUUGUUUCCAGAAUGCUAACAGUUAGGCUAUAGGUGCAGAAACGCUUGGAUUAGUGCUAAUGUGUCAUGAUUUUAAGCUCUUUAUUUUAUUUUUUUUCCUUGCAAACUCUUAACCUUUAUUCCCUUUAAUUUAAAAAUGGUGCAGUAAGCUCUUUGUGAAAGAGAUGUGAAAUUUCAUGCAAGCUCAUUAAAUACCCUUUUGUUUGAUUGUGUCAAUUAGUUUUGUAAUAUCAUGUAGGGUUUAUUUUGAAUAUGUAAUUUGUCAAGAUUUUGCCUCCGAAAAUACCAAUCUGCCAAGAUUAAUUGGAGUUUAGAGGAGACAAAAUAGAAAUUUGUAGAGAUAUUCAACGCCAUGCACAUGAAAAAUAGUGAACGUACACCUUUAAUAAAAGAUUUCUACCCUUUUUGACUGUUAAAAGUAACUUUAACACAGGAUUCUUGCACACUUGCAAGAACUCAUUGAUUUUAAACCAUUGGAUUCUUUCUCACCUCUUGCGUUGGAUUUGUUUCUUAUAAAGCUUCCUUUUAUGUCUAUGAUGUCUUUAUUUGAUAGCUUUUGUAGUUUUAAUGUAAGGUUUCCUUUGAGGUGAAAAGUUUUGGAGUAAGGUAAAAUAUUAAAGGUGUAAAAAAAUAUUAAAAUGAUAAGUUUUGGAGUAAGUUCAUAAAAUGAGCAGAAAUCAGAAAUAUGUAACGAGAUUAAAAUUUAUAACAAGAAAUCAGCUAACUAAAAUGCAUGGUAAAAUAAGUAUUUAUUUUGUAGAUACAAUGUUAUUUGCAUCUUAUUGAGCUAACAUGGUAAGGAUUUUUUAUUUGUUCAAGAUAAUAAAUUUUAAAUUAUUUAUAUUUAUCCUCGAAUAUUUCUUUCUUUUUUUUUAAUCUUGAUAGCAAGAACAAUUUGGGUGGAAAAGAAGAUGAUGUGUUUUCAGCUUUUGCGUCAGAGUGCUAAACAGUUGAAUAAUUUAUAUUUAUAUUUAUAUUUUUGUUUGAAUAAUUUACAAAAUGAAAUUACCAAACUCUAGCUUAGCCACUUUGGUCCAUAUAAAACGACAUGAUUGCCAAUGCAUAAGCCGUCCGCUGCCAUGUCCAAGGCUUCCCUCAUCUUCUUCCCUUCCUUUCUCGCUGUCUCUGCAUUUAUAAUCCCAAAAAACUAAUCGAAAGUCGUAUAGGAAUUCCACCAAAGAAAAAAAACCGCACCCAUCUCAAACUCCCUUUCUUUUUAUGGAAGGAACAAGCCUUAUCCAUGUCACCUAUCUUCUCUUUUAUAUCAGACAAUAGAGUCAGCCAUGGCAGUCACUUAGUCGCUUCAGCUUUUAUUGAUUCAAUAUUUCAUCUUCAACAGCAAUUGGGUAUGGUGCAAUCACGUUUCUAGUUUGAUCUUCGCACUUAUUCAACUAGAACGAGAUACAAGAGCAAAGAUAUGUUGGGUUCUUUGCCAUUCUAUUGUGAGAAUGGAGCAUUACGAAUUUUGAUUUCAACCAUUCUCAUUUUAACUUGCAUGGAUAUUGUUUAGGAAGUGGAUUGGUUGAAACUUGGGUAAUAUAAUGCAUUUUCUUCAUGAAAUUUUUUAUUUUGUUCAAUAACAAUAAUUAAAAUUAGUUAAGGCAAUACAAUUUUUAUUUGAUGCCUUUGCUUCUUUCAAUAUGUAAUUAUCAAAAUUAAUUGUGAUAAUGAAGCAUUACGGAUGUAUAUUUGUUUUGUUCAAACAAACUGAACAUUUUCUUAUGAUAAUAUGUAUUCAUUUUUUAAAAAUUUAUUGGAUUUAAUUUGUUUAUGAUGCUAGUGUAGAUUAUUUGAUUUUCUGAGUUAUAGAAUUCAGAUUUUCUCAUUUUCUGUUUUAACUUUUUGCUAAAUCUAAACUGCCUUUAUCUAUAUGACUGUUGAUUCAUAGCCCGAGUUGUCGAUUGUGUUCUUCUUUCUUCUUCAAUCAACAUAUGUUGAGUAGUUUUUGCAUCUGCUGUGUGAUUGAUGUGUUGGACAGGAGGAUAGCAUCCCUGCCUUGCCUAAUUAUGUAUAGGCUGAAGUUAAUUCAGCAGCAGCAGUGGAUCAUUUCAGCUGAAUGGUUUUAUCUCAAGUUAUAGCAGAUUAAUGUCGAAUCAGAGAUUAACCUUUUAAACUUUAUUAUUACUUGCUGUACCAUUCUCUGCCUGGCUUUUUGCAUACUUAAAAUGUUCAUAGACUUGGUGAUAAUUGUGCCAGUGCCUUAAAUGGGAUGCUGCAUUGCUCCUCGCCGCUAGCGGUCUGUCUGCUGGAGCUGUCUUCCUUCAAAACAGGUUGAUGUAAAUGCAGAUGGGAGCUCAUUUAGUAAAAUCUUGGCCCUUUGGUUGCAGGUGGUUUAAUUAGGAAUGGACUUGGUUGGUUGAUAUUCGCAUCACAGGUUCCUUUAUGCUUAUAUGGAUCAUAACAAAUAUGGUGUCAACAAUAAGCUUGGAAUUGGGCAACAAAAAAUGUUAUUCUUGAAUCAGAUUCCCAACAGUAUUGUUGCAAGCCUGAUCAGAUGAACUCGUCUAUCACCCUUGUUCUGUAUUGCUUGAAGCCAUUAAAGAAAUUUUGCAGGGAAGAUGUGCUGCGUGAUGCAUAUGAACUUGUGCAGAUAUCUUAAGCUAAGAUGGGUGCCUCUUAGCAUGGUGAUCUUCUGUUUUGGUCUUCAUCCCCAUCUAAGCUCGCACAGCUCUGUUUCGCUUUUGUUCACAGUGCCAAAAAGAGUUGAUGUUGAGCUUUACAUGGAUGAACCAGCUUGCCCAUAAUGGUGGCAAGGUGUGAAACAAAAUUACUUUUCAACAACAGAGAUAUCAGAAACAUAAUUGUAAAAUUAUUCCAUUGGCAUUUAAUUAACACGGCCUCAAUAUUUUUGUUUUA